rnacentral:rRNA from 1 species
GACGAACGCUGGCGGCGUGCUUAACACAUGCAAGUCGAACGGAAAGGCCCUGCUUUUGUGGGGUGCUCGAGUGGCGAACGGGUGAGUAACACGGGAGUAACCUGCCCUUGACUUUGGGGUAACUUCAGGAAACUGGGGCUAAUACCGGAUAGGAGCUCCUGCUGCAUGGGGGGGGUAGGAAAGGUUCGGCGGUUGGGGAUGGACUCGCGGCUUAUCAGCGUGUUGGUGGGGUAGUGGCUUACCAAGGCUUUGACGGGUAGCCGGCCUGAGAGGGUGACCGGCCACAUUGGGACUGAGAUACGGCCCAGACUCCUACGGGAGGCAGCAGUGGGGAAUAUUGCACAAUGGGCGGAAGCCUGAUGCAGCAACGCCGCGUGCGGGAUGACGGCCUUCGGGUUGUAAACCGCUUUCGCCUGUGACGAAGCGUGAGUGACGGUAAUGGGUAAAGAAGCACCGGCUAACUACGUG